GGAUUUGAUGAAAUCAAUGAUUUAACAGAAGGGGCCGAUUUCGAAUAACUAGGGUACCCUAGUUAUUUGAAAUCUCUUCCUCUCCCCCUUCCGAAACAUCACGCUCGAUUUCAACAGCGGCGGGGAGCUCGCUCUCUCUUCACUUGUGUUCUCUACGAAUCGCAGAGGCUGGGCUAGAGUUGAUUUGAGAUUUGGUGAAGGGCAACCAAGGAAUUGAGGGUGAAGCAUUACAAUUUGGAUUUUCAUGAUAUGGAGUCUUCUGAAACACUAUUAUUAUUACUUUUUUUUUUUUUUUUUUGAGACUAUAAGAUGAAACACUUUGGAUUUGUAUAAUUGAGAGUAUGAGAUGGACUUAUACAGAUGAAACAUGUAUUAUUAUUAUUAUUGAUACUUUUUUUUUUGGUUGAAAAUAUGAGAUGAAAAACUUGGGAUUUAUAUUGCUUUUGGAA